GUGUGUGUGUGUAUCACAUUGAAUACACCAGUUCUCAUCUGAUCGCUGAAAUUAAACAAUGUGGAGCCUAGUUAGUACUUAGAUGGGUGACCAUUUGGGAAACCUAGGUGCUGUAAGCA
rnacentral:rRNA from 1 species